rnacentral:rRNA from 1 species
UACGGGGGGGGCAAGCGUUGUUCGGAAUUACUGGGCGUAAAGGGCUCGUAGGCGGCCAACUAAGUCGGAUGUGAAAUCCCCAGGCUCAACCUGGGAACUGCAUCCGAUACUGGAUGGCUUGAAUUCGGGAGAGGGAUGCAGAAUUCCAGGUGUAGCGGUGAAAUGUGUAGAUAUCUGGAGGAAUACCGGUGGCGAAGGCGGCAUCCUGGACCGACAUUGACGCUGAUGAGCGAAAGCUAGGGGAGCAAACGGG